GUCCUUUCAUUCAAUGUCAUUUGACUAGAGUAUUUACAAUGUCCAUUUUGACUACAUUGCGUUGCAAACUUUGGUUGGUCCUUCUAUCUCAAGUGUGAGGUUCCUUUAUGUGUGGAAGCUUUACCUUGAACACUUGUUUUACAAUGUGGAGCAGGGCGCAAUGCUUUUCGGGAAGCGAUUGGAGGUGAACUUUUCAAAGUAUCCAAAUAUAACUCAAGGUGCUGACACACAUGAAUAUGUGAACUCUAAUCUCAAUCGCUUCAAUCGAAAUGCUGCAAAGAACUAUAAGUACUGUUGCUCACCAACAAAGAUGAUCCACCUUCCCACUCUCCCUCAAGACAUAACAGAAGAGGAGAUUGUUAGCCUCUUAGAGGAGCAUGGCACUGUUGUCAACAGCAGGCUUUUUGAGAUGAACGGUAAAAAA